rnacentral:tRNA from 1 species
CCCAAGCUAGCUCAGCCUGGUAGAGCUUCCGGCUGUAGUGGUCGGCCAUUGGCUAACCGAAAUCAGCCUACUAGGCACACAGAAACCGGAGUGUCGAAGGUUCAAUUCCUUCGCUUGGGA